rnacentral:lncRNA from 1 species
UACAAUCUAUAUCUGUAGGCGCCACCACGGCCAUUACUCUUUUAUCUCGUUUUAUCACUUGAAAAAAAGAAAAACAAAAACAAAAACAUGGCCCAGCACGGAGGGUUCUGGUUUGGUGCGGAUGUGGACAUCCUGUUCGCUGGAUGGCCUUCUGGUCAUGGCCACUUCCAUUUCUACAUGGCCCUAGUCCUCGUGUUCAUGCUGUCGAUGUGCGCCCAGAUGUAUGCAAUGACUCCCAUGACCUCCCCCAAGAUGGUUCCUAAGAGUCUCAUCCAGCACGCCGCCCUCCAUUGCUUUCGUACUUUCAUCAACUUCUUGGUCCUCCUCUGUGUCAUCACCUUCAACCUUGGAGUCUUAAUCACAGUACUCCUGGGCCACGUAGGCGGCUACGUAGCUCUCACAAUGUAC